CAGGCGGUAUCUGGUAAGAGCUGCACUGCGAAGGGUAAUAGAUGUUGUAAGCAAGCAAGGCACACUCUGCUCUGAGCCGUAGGGACCGAGACAGAAGG
rfam:Paenibacillus sp. JDR-2, complete genome.